rnacentral:rRNA from 1 species
GUCGAACGGGAGAAACUGAGAUGGAUUUAUUCAACUUAGCAGACACCGUGGGCCGAUGGGUGAGUAACACGUAAGCAACCUGCCUAAAAGAGGGGAAUAACAGAGAGAAAUUUCUGAUAAUACCGCAUAUACCAAAGUAUCGCAUGGUACAAUUGGGAAAGAUUUAUCACUUUUAGAUGGGCUUGCGUCUGAUUAGCUAGUUGGUGAGAUAAUAGCUCACCAAGGCGACGAUCAGUAGCCGGAUUGAGAGGUUGAACGGCCACAUUGGGACUGAGACACGGCCCAGACUCCUACGGGAGGCAGCAGUCGGGAAUAUUGCACAAUGGAGGAAACUCUGAUGCAGUGACACCGCGUAUAGGAAGAAGGCCUUAGGGUUGUAAGCUAUUGUCGUGUGAGAAGAAAAUGACUAUCACAGGAGGAAGCCCUGGCUAAAUAUGUGCCAGCAGCCGCGGUAAUACAUAUGGGGCGAGCGUUAUCCGGAUUUAUUGGGUGUAAAGGGUUCGUAGGCGGGAAAGUAAGUCAGUAUGUGAAAUCCCUCGGCUCAACCGAGGAACUGCGAUUGAAACUAUUUUUCUUGAGUACUGGAGGGGAAAGUGGAAUUCUUAGUGUAGCGGUGAAAUGCGUAGAUAUUAGGAAGAACACCAGUGGCGAAGGCGACUUUCUGGACAGUAACUGACGCUGAGGAACGAAAGUGUGGGGAGCAAACAGGAUUAGAUACCCUGGUAGUC